rnacentral:rRNA from 1 species
GACGUAGGGCGCGAGCGUUGUCCGGAUUUACUGGGCGUAAAGAGCGCGCAGGCGGUCGUUCAAGUCGCGUGUGAAAGCCCCCGGCCUCAACUGGGGAGGGUCACGCGAUACUGAUCGACUCGAAGGCAGGAGAGGGUAGUGGAAUUCCCGGUGUAGUGGUGAAAUGCGUAGAGUAUCAGGAGGAACACCGGUGGCGAAGGCGGGUCUCUGGGCCGAUACUGACGCUGAGGAGCGAAAGCGUGGGAGCGAACAGG